rnacentral:rRNA from 1 species
CUUCUUUUUCCACCGGAGCUUGCUCCACCGGAAAAAGAGGAGUGGCGAACGGGUGAGUAACACGUGGGUAACCUGCCCAUCAGAAGGGGAUAACACUUGGAAACAGGUGCUAAUACCGUAUAACAAUCGAAACCGCAUGGUUUUGAUUUGAAAGGCGCUUUCGGGUGUCGCUGAUGGAUGGACCCGCGGUGCAUUAGCUAGUUGGUGAGGUAACGGCUCACCAAGGCCACGAUGCAUAGCCGACCUGAGAGGGUGAUCGGCCACAUUGGGACUGAGACACGGCCCAAACUCCUACGGGAGGCAGCAGUAGGGAAUCUUCGGCAAUGGACGAAAGUCUGACCGAGCAACGCCGCGUGAGUGAAGAAGGUUUUCGGAUCGUAAAACUCUGUUAUUAGAGAAGAACAAGGAUGAGAGUAACUGUUCAUCCCUUGACGGUAUCUAACCAGAAAGCCACGGCUAACUACGUGCCAGCAGCCGCGGUAAUACGUAGGUGGCAAGCGUUGUCCGGAUUUAUUGGGCGUAAAGCGAGCGCAGGCGGUUUCUUAAGUCUGAUGUGAAAGCCCCCGGCUCAACCGGGGAGGGUCAUUGGAAACUGGGAGACUUGAGUGCAGAAGAGGAGAGUGGAAUUCCAUGUGUAGCGGUGAAAUGCGUAGAUAUAUGGAGGA